rfam:Arabis alpina cultivar Pajares scaff_45840_1_contig_0, whole genome shotgun sequence.
AACCCAUGAUGAGGGCAUUCUAUACUCCUUGAAUCUCUCAAAAGCUUCACCAAACGACUCUCCUGAAAACUGAUGGAAAGAGAAGAUCUUGUUCCUCAGGGA